rnacentral:misc_RNA from 1 species
GGUAAUACUGGUGGUGGCAGGUGUUUAGGUGUUGUGUAGGGACACUGAAGUUGCAGGCACAAUAAGUGGGUCCAAUCAUGGGGAUGAACGGAUAAAGAUGCUUGAUCAUCAAAAUCAGACAUUUUUUCAUUUUCUGCUGCCUAACCAGCCAGCCAGCCAGCCAGCCAGCUCGUUAUUUUUAAUGCACUAAUCUAUCCAACAAAUUUUCCGGUUUAUAGUAUUGGUGUAACCGUCUAAAGCAUAAAAACAACAGGAAAAUCCCAGAGGAAUAUAGAGUAAAAUACACGACGCAAUGCCACUAAUAAUAGCCAAUUUCUUGCCAAACUAGAACAACGAAACAAGAUUUGCUUGAGAUGGAAAGAAUUAAUU